rnacentral:rRNA from 1 species
GGCGGCGUGCUUACACAUGCAAGUCAAGGAGAAAGGAUAUCUUCGGAUAUCUGAUUACACUGGCGGAUGGGUGAGUAACGCGUAGGCAACCUACCUUCAGGUUUGGGAUAACACUGCUAACGCGGUGCUAAUACCAGAUGGUGCAUAUACACUGCAUGGUGUAUAUGUUAAAGCUGGCCACUGAUAUAAGCUAGUACCUGUAGAUGGGCUUGCGUUUCAUUAGUUAGUUGGUGGGGUAAUGGCUCACCAAUGCGACGAUGGAUAGCCGGCCUGAGAGGGUGAUCGGCCACACUGGGACUGGGAUACGGCCCAGACUCCUACGGGAGGCAGCAGUGAGGAAUAUUGCGCAAUGGCAGAAAUGCUGACGCAGCAACGCCGCGUGAGGGAUGAAGCUUUUCGGAGUGUAAACCUUUGUUAGGAGGGACGAACGGGCAUAAUACGAAUAGGGUUAUGCCGUGACGGUACCUCCAGAGGAAGCCCCGGCUAACUCCGUGCCAGCAGCCGCGGUAAUACGGGGGGGGCAAGCGUUGUCCGGAAUCAUUGGGCGUAAAGGGCGCGUAGGCUGACAGGUCAGUCUGUGGUGCAAUCUUGUGGCUUAACCGUAAGUUUGCCAUGGAAACUACCUGUCUUGAGAUCGGAAGGGGGAAGCGGAAUUCCUGGUGUAGCGGUGAAAUGCGUAGAUCUCAGGAAGAACACCGGUGGCGAAGGCGGCUUCCUGGUCCGAGACUGACGCUGAUGCGCGAAAGCGUGGGGAGCGAACAGGAUUAGAUACCCUGGUAGUCCACGCUGUUAAACGAUGGGCACUAGGUGUUGGGCGUCAAGUUCAGCGCCGGAGCAAACGCAUUUAAGUGCCCCGCCUGGGGAAUACGAUCGCAAGAUUGAAACUCAAAGGAAUUGACGGGGGCCCGCACAAGCGGUGGAGCAUGUGGUUUAAUUCGAUGCAACGCGAAGAACCUUACCUGGGCUUGAACUGCAGAGGCACGUACCCUGAAAGGGGUAUUUCCUUCGGGACUUCUGUAGAGGUGCUGCAUGCCUGUCGUCAGCUCGUGCCGUGAGUUGUUGGGUUAAGUCCCGCAACGAGCG